rfam:Gossypium raimondii Chr07_contig_1156, whole genome shotgun sequence.
UAUUAAAAUUUUUCUCCAUUUGUACUAUUAAAAAUUGGCGUGGUUGACGGAAUAAUAAAAAAUGACAUGUGACAUGCAACGUGUAACUCAUAUUAAAGUAUACAAAUCAAUUUUUAACAAUAAAAAUGGAUGAAAUUUUCAACA